UGUUGGGCAAAUUAGGGUUUCUGUUCUAUUGUGGCUAGUACAUUUUUCCUAGUGUACAGAAAUGCUAUUGAUUUUGAUACAGGAGUGCUGGGAAGGGACGAGCAUGGUCCCUUUAAAUGAUACCGAACGGGGGACAGGGAAGUGCUGGGUAGAGCAAGGCCGGUUCCUGGCUAGGGCUUCACCCUCUGGCUUGUGCCCACGAACCUAGGUGAGGACAGGCACUCCUGCCUUUGGGCCCAAAUGUUGCAUUUUCCAAAACCACCCUGGCCCACCACACCCCCAUCCUGGGCGGAUAAAAACUGAGACCCUAGCAGGCAGAUAGAUACACAAGCGUCUGGACGUCCAGAGGAGGGGAUCAGCGGAAGAAGACACAAGCAGCCGGACAUCGAGAGGAUGUCGAGGGGAGCAUGCCAGUGGAAGAGCACAUGACAGACACUGGCAGGACAGCAGGCCAUUGACUGGAGGAACGAUGUGGAGUUUAGCGAGAUCAGGAGGAGGAGAGCACGGGCCGCUAAGCAGAGGGACCCCUGGUGCAUCUCCCAUCUGGCUCCCCCAUCUGCUGAGAACUACUUCUACUCAGUAAAACCUCGGACUCAUUCUCCAAGCCCUCGCGUGAUCUGGUUCUUCCGGUACACCACGGCAGGAAACCCUGGGAUACAGAAAUCCCUCCGUCCUUGUGGAUUUUAGAAUGCCAAGCUGACAUUUUGAGUUUUUAUGAGAAACCAGAAAAUUUGGUGUGAAGACCCUAAGUGGUGUGUCUGACUUACAGCAGGCCCACAGUACCUGUUAUUGAGUGAGAUAAGCAAAUGGUAUUUCAGGACCAAAACAUCUGUUUCCUGAAGAGUUGCUCCUUUAAUUGUGUAUCUACCUACCUGUCUAUGUAACUCUUGGCAAAUACAUUGGAGACUUCUCAACUUUCUGCUUCUGAUGAUCUCAACUUGUGGUAUGGCAAAAGGAGAGCAAAAUGUUCACCCAGGAACGAGAAGUCCUGGCAGCUGAGUCAUGAUCCCCCAGGAGCCAUUAAGAAGUUAAUCUUCAGUCACUUCCAUCCAAACAGAAGAAAACCCAUGAAGGAUGAGAACUAUGGGUCCUGAGAAUGACAGGUAUUGAAGACAGGAUUUAUCUUCUCUACUUCUUCUUUUAGAAGCAGAUCAAGAAACUGGCGAUUGAAGAGUAACUGAAAGAAACGCAAUCUGAUCUUACUAGCAGUGAAAGAGCGAGUCUCCCUCUGAUGCCGAGCAGAAGCUAGACUGUACUGCUGCCAUCUCAGCUCACUGCAACCUCCCUGCCUGAUUCUCCUGCCUCAGCCUGCUGAGUGCCUGCAAUUGCAGGCGCGCCGCCACGCCUGACUGGUUUUCGUAUUUUUUUGGUGGAGACGGGGAUUCGCUGUGUUGGCCGGGCUGGUCUCCAGCUCCUAACCGCGAGUGAUCCACCAGCCUCGGCCUCCUGAGGUGCCGGGAUUGCAGACGGAGUCUGGUUCACUCAGUGCUCAAUGGCGCCCAGACUGGAGUGCAGUGGCGUGAUCUCAGCUCGCUACAACCUCCACCUCCCAGCCGCCUCCCUUGGCCUCCCAAAGUGCAGAGAUUGCAGCCUCUGCCCGGCCGCCACCCCGCCUGGGAAGUGAGGAGCGUCUCUGCCUGGCCGCCCAUUGUCUGGGAUGUGAGGAGCCCCUCUGCCUGGCUGCCCAGUCUGGAAAGUGAGGAGUGUCUCUGCCUGGCCGCCAUCCCAUCUAGGAAGUGAGGAGCGCCUCUUCCCGGCCGCCAUCCCAUCUAGGAAGUGAGGAGCCUCUCUGCCCAGCCGCCCAUCGUCUGAGAUGUGGGGAGCGCCUCUGCCCCGCCGCCCCGUCUGGGAUGUGAGGAGCGCCUCUACCCCGCCGCGACCCCGUCUGGGAGGUGAGGAGCGUCUCUGCCCGGCGGCCCCGUCUGGGAAGUGAGGAGACCCUCCGCCCGGCAGCCGCCCCAUCUGAGAAGUGAGGAGCCCCUCUGCCCAGCAGCCACCCUGUCUGGGAAGUGAGGAGCGUCUCUGCCCAGCAGCCACCCCGUCUGGGAGGGAGGUGGGGGGUCAGCCCCCCGCCCGGCCAGCCGCCCCGUCCGGGAGGUGAGGGGCGCCUCUGCCCGGCGGCCCCUACUGGGAAGUGAGGAGCCCCUCUGCCCGGCCAGCCGCCCCGUCUGGGAAGUGAGGAGCGUCUCCGCCCAGCAGCCACCCCGUCCGGGAGGGAGGUGGGGGGAUCAGCCCCCCGCCCGGCCAGCCGCCCAGUCCGGGAGGGAGGUGGGGGGGUCAGCCCCCCGCCCGGCCAGCCGCCCCGUCCGGGAGGUGAGGGGUGCCUCUGCCCGGCCGCCCCUACUGGGAAGUGAGGAGCCCCUCUGCCCGGCCAGCCGCCCGGUCCGGGAGGGAGGUGGGGGGGUCAGCCCCCUGCCUGGCAAGCCGCCCCGUCUGGGAGGGAGGUGGGGGGAUCAGCCCCCCGCCGGGCCAGCCACCCCGUCCGGGAGGUGAGGGGUGCCUCUGCCCGGCCGCCCCUACUGGGAAGUGAGGAGCCCCUCUGCCCGGCCAGCCGCCCCAUCCGGGAGUGAGGUGGGGGGGUCAGCCCCCUGCCCGGCCAGCCGCCCCGUCCGGGAGGUGAGGGGCGCCUCUGCCCGGCCGCCCCUACUGGGAAGUGAGGAGCCCCUCUGCCCGGCCACCACCCCGUCUGGGAGGUGUACCCAACAGCUCAUUGAGAACGGGCCAUGAUGACAAUGGCGGUUUUGUGGAAUAGAAAGCGGGGAAAGGUGGGGAAAAGAUUGAGAAAUCGGAUGGUUGCCGUGUCUGUGUAGAAAGAGGUAGACAUGGGAGACUUUUCAUUUUGUUCUGUACUAAGAAAAAUUCUUAUCCUGUUGAUCUGUGACCUUACCCCCAACCCCGUGCUCUCUGAAACAUGUGCUGUGUCCACUCAGGGCUAAAUGGAUUAAGGGCGGUGCAAGAUGUGCUUUGUUAAACAGAUGCUUGAAGGCAGCAUGCUCGUUGAGAGUCAUCACCACUCCCUAAUCUCAAGUAACCAGGGACACAAACACUGUGGAAGGCCGCAGGGUCCUCUGCCUAGGAAAACCAGAGACCUUUGUUCACUUGUUUAUCUGCUGACCUUCCCUCCACUAUUGUCCUAUGACCCUGCCAAAUCCCCCUCUGCGAGAAACACCCAAGAAUGAUCAAUAAAAAAAUAAAAUAAAAUAAAAUAAAAUAAAAUAAAUAAAGUUUCAUGCGCAUCCGUGUGAAGAGACCACCAAACAGGCUUUGUGUGAGCAGCAUGGCUGUUUAUUUCACCUGGGUGCAGGCGGGCUGAGUCCGAAAAGAGAGUCAGCCAAGGG
rnacentral:lncRNA from 10 species